GACGUAGGGUGCGAGCGUUGUCCGGAUUUAUUGGGCGUAAAGAGCUCGUAGGCGGUCUGUUGCGUCGGCUGUGAAAACCCGGGGCUCAACCCCGGGCCUGCAGCCGAUACGGGCAGACUAGAGUUCGGCAGGGGAGACUGGAAUUCCUGGUGUAGCGGUGAAAUGCGCAGAUAUCAGGAGGAACACCGGUGGCGAAGGCGGGUCUCUGGGCCGAUACUGACGCUGAGGCGCGAAAGCUAGGGGAGCAAACGGA
rnacentral:rRNA from 1 species